GUAACCUGUGGCAACGGCACCCAGGAGCGGCCAGUGCUCUGCCGCACCGCGGACGACAGCUUCGGCAUCUGCCAGGAGGAGCGUCCUGAGACAGCGAGGACCUGCAGGCUUGGCCCCUGUCCCCGAAACAUCUCAGAUCCCUCCAAGAAGAGCUACGUAGUUCAGUGGCUGUCCCGCCCGGACCCCGACUCGCCCAUCCGGAAGAUCUCGUCAAGUAACCGACCCGUUUAUAACUCUGCCUCUGCCCUCCAGUGCAUGCCCUGCGCCCUGUGGAGCUUGCCUUGGGCCCCCCUCCUCUCUGUCUAUGGAAAGCUCCCCUGACUCUGCGGGCGCGCUCUGGGGUGACCGUUUUCUCCCGGGCCUCUGAGCUCGGCGUCCGCUCCGGGCCGCGCUGCCUGCUGGCGGGGGCUCGGGCCUCUGCUGGGGCCGAACCUGGUUGGUGAUGGCUUGUAAAGGGGCAAAGAUCUGUCGUGGUUGCAGGAGGGGCCGGUGGCCAAAGGGCGACCCUCCGGGCCGAGCCCGUCCCGGCCCGGGGGGGUUCGCGGUCUCGCGGCGUCGUGCGGGGACCCCACCCCGAGUUUCCGGCACUGCCAGGUGCUUCCCGGCUGCCACCGCCGUCGCUGCUGCCGCCGACCCUUUGCUGAGCGUGUCCUUCUGACUCGUG
rnacentral:lncRNA from 1 species